rnacentral:lncRNA from 1 species
UCUCCAAAGGCUCAAGGGGAGGCAUGCUGGAGAAUGCAGUGGCCUCGUCCGGCUCCUAUUCAAGUACGAUCUCGAAGAAGACAGUGACACACUGCUGGGCUAGAUGGGAUGAGGACAGUGACACACUGCGGGGCUGGGGGAGUUAGUCCUCACCAGCGACACGAGGGAGAGGUGUCCGACGGGGCCGGACUUGGAACAAAGAGCUCGAGCUUCUCUGGUUCGGUGCGGGCGCGAGGAGGCUGAGGCACCGAGGAAGCACACGAAGUCCUUGGGGCGAGGAGCUUGGGUCCUCGGGCGUCUUAGGCAGCGGGAAGAGGC